GCCCUUUCGGGGGUACACGAGUGGCGAACGGGUGAGUAACACGUGGGUAAUCUGCCCUGCACUUCGGGAUAAGCCUGGGAAACCGGGUCUAAUACCGGAUAUGAGCUCCUGCCGCAUGGUGGGGGUUGGAAAGUUUUUCGGUGCAGGAUGAGUCCGCGGCCUAUCAGCUUGUUGGUGGGGUAAUGGCCUACCAAGGCGACGACGGGUAGCCGGCCUGAGAGGGUGAUCGGCCACACUGGGACUGAGACACGGCCCAGACUCCUACGGGAGGCAGCAGUGGGGAAUAUUGCACAAUGGGCGAAAGCCUGAUGCAGCGACGCCGCGUGGGGGAUGACGGUCUUCGGAUUGUAAACUCCUUUCAGUAGGGACGAAGCGAAAGUGACGGUACCUGCAGAAGAAGCACCGGCCAACUACGUGCCAGCAGCCGCGGUAAUACGUAGGGUGCAAGCGUUGUCCGGAAUUACUGGGCGUAAAGAGCUCGUAGGCGGUUUGUCACGUCGUCUGUGAAAUCCUCCAGCUCAACUGGGGGCGUGCAGGCGAUACGGGCAGACUUGAGUACUACAGGGGAGACUGGAAUUCCUGGUGUAGCGGUGAAAUGCGCAGAUAUCAGGAGGAACACCGGUGGCGAAGGCGGGUCUCUGGGUAGUAACUGACGCUGAGGAGCGAAAGCAUGGGGAGCAAACAGGAUUAGAUACCCUGGUAGUCCAUGCCGUAAACGGUGGGCGCUAGGUGUGG
rnacentral:rRNA from 1 species